CGCUAUCAGCAGUCGACGAACUCUGGUAUUGAUUGGUGCUUGCAUCAUGAUUUACAUUUGAGUGAGUGGCGAACUGGUGAGUAACACGUGGGAAACCUGCCCAGAAGCGGGGGAUAACACCUGGAAACAGAUGCUAAUACCGCAUAACAACUUGGACCGCAUGGUCCGAGCUUGAAAGAUGGCUUCGGCUAUCACUUUUGGAUGGUCCCGCGGCGUAUUAGCUAGAUGGUGGGGUAACGGCUCACCAUGGCAAUGAUACGUAGCCGACCUGAGAGGGUAAUCGGCCACAUUGGGACUGAGACACGGCCCAAACUCCUACGGGAGGCAGCAGUAGGGAAUCUUCCACAAUGGACGAAAGUCUGAUGGAGCAACGCCGCGUGAGUGAAGAAGGGUUUCGGCUCGUAAAACUCUGUUGUUAAAGAAGAACAUAUCUGAGAGUAACUGUUCAGGUAUUGACGGUAUUUAACCAGAAAGCCACGGCUAACUACGUGCCAGCAGCCGCGGUAAUACGUAGGUGGCAAGCGUUGUCCGGAUUUAUUGGGCGUAAAGCGAGCGCAGGCGGUUUUUUAAGUCUGAUGUGAAAGCCUUCGGCUCAACCGAAGAAGUGCAUCGGAAACUGGGAAACUUGAGUGCAGAAGAGGACAGUGGAACUCCAUGUGUAGCGGUGAAAUGCGUAGAUAUAUGGAAGAACACCAGUGGCGAAGGCGGCUGUCUGGUCUGUAACUGACGCUGAGGCUCGAAAGUAUGGGUAGCAAACAGGAUUAGAUACCCUGGUAGUCCAUACCGUAAACGAUGAAUGCUAAGUGUUGGAGGGUUUCCGCCCUUCAGUGCUGCAGCUAACGCAUUAAGCAUUCCGCCUGGGGAGUACGGCCGCAAGGCUGAAACUCAAAGGAAUUGACGGGGGCCCGCCAAGCGGUGGAGCAU
rnacentral:rRNA from 2 species